rnacentral:ribozyme from 1 species
UGCAUAUUUAAUUUUUAUAACUUUUCCACCCCGUACUCUACUCUUACUCAAAACGUCCCCGACGUACAGAACGGUAACAUGUCCUUCUUGUCCGCAUAUUUGAGCUUGGGUAUACAGGGAAACCCAAACCCUUGGGAGGAUGGAAGACAUGGCUAAUUUGAGAGGA